rnacentral:lncRNA from 1 species
AAAGUUUGCACCCUUCGACUGGAUUAAGCGAUUCGACUGACGAGGAAUCGGAUCAGCCGAGUUCGAAAAUCUCUACUGUAGUUCGGUUUGGCUGGAUGAGCCGAAUGUACUGACUGAACAAAGACUUGGGUCGGCAGAAGAGCCGAACAGAUGGAAUACACAAUGACUGGUCGGCUGAAAGAGCCGAAUGCCUUUAUAUAUAUUGAAUGUAACUUGUAGAAAUAGUA